UCCGUAGGGGGUCUGCCAAGUCUGAUGUGAAAUCCUGCGGCUCAACCGUGGAACUGCAUUGGAAACUGGUGGACUAGAGUGUGCGAGGGGUGAGCGGAAUUCCUGGUGUAGCGGUGGAACGCGUAGAUAUCAGGAAGAACACCGAUGGCGAAGGCGGCUCACUGGCGCAUCACUGACCCUGAGGGACGAAAGCGUGGGUAGCAAACAGGAUUAGAUACCCUGGUAGUCC
rnacentral:rRNA from 1 species